rnacentral:tRNA from 1 species
UCUUCCUUGGUCUAGUGGUCAUGAUUUCCGCUUGUCAAUCGGGCUACCCGAUAACAAGCGCGGGAGACCGGGGUUCGAUUCCCCGAGGGAGAG